rnacentral:rRNA from 1 species
AAGGAGUCUAACAUGCGUGCGAGUCAUUGGGUGCCCUAAACCCAAGGGCGCAGUGAAAGCAAACUCAGGGGCGAUCCCUUCUCCUUUCGGGGGGUGGGGCGCAACCCCGGCGCUUCAAUUCGACCUCGUCUCGUCUGGAGCAGCAGGAGCACGCACGUUGGGACCCGAAAGAUGGUGAACUAUGCCUGGCCAGGUUGAAGUCAGGGGAAACCCUGAUGGAGGACCGUAGCGAUUCUGACGUGCAAAUCGAUCGUCGGAGCUGGGUAUAGGGGCGAAAGACUAAUCGAACCAUCUAGUAGCUGGUUCCUUCCGAAGUUUCCCUCAGGAUAGCUGGCGCUCGUGACCGAGUUUCAUCCGGUAAAGCGAAUGAUUAGAAGCCUUGGGGGCGAAACGCCCUCAACUUAUUCUCAAACUUUAAAUGGGUGAGAAGUGGGACUUGCUUAACUGAAGCCCUACAACGAAUCGGAGUGCCUAGUGGGCCAUUUUUGGUAAGCAGAACUGGCGAUGUGGGAUGAACCAAACGUCGGGUUAAAGUGCCAAAGUGGGCGCUCAUCAGAUCCCAUGAAAGGUGUUAGUUGCUUAAGACAGCAGGACGGUGGCCAUGGAAGUCGGAAU